rnacentral:other from 1 species
CAAAUGUUAAAACACGUGGUAUAGUAAAUCCAGUAUUUUAAAGCACGAUUUGAUUCACAUGGUAUUGUAAAUCAACGUUCGUUUUUGAUUUACGGUCCAUGUGUUUUUUUCUUUGCAGAGAAAUACAGACGCUAAUUAACUAGUCAAUUUUGUCAAGGAGGUACCUCAAUAAUGGGUGCAAACACUGGUACAGUAAAAUGGUUUAACGAAGCUAAGGGCUAUGGUUUCAUUUCUAACGACGACGGCAGCGGCGAUGUAUUCGUACAUUUCUCCGCUAUCCUCGGCGAAGGAUUCAAAACUCUGACCGAAGGCCAGAAGGUUUCUUAUGACAUCGAGCCUGAUCCGAAGAACAGCAGCAAGUCCCGCGCUGCUAACGUUCAGCCUCUGUAAGGUCGACACCAUUUACGGCGGAAGGCGAAAAGCUUUCCGCCGUUUU